AUUGAACGCUGGCGGCAUGCCUUACACAUGCAAGUCGAACGGUAACAGGUUAAGCUGACGAGUGGCGAACGGGUGAGUAAUGUAUCGGAACGUGCCCAGUCGUGGGGGAUAACUGCUCGAAAGAGCAGCUAAUACCGCAUACGACCUGAGGGUGAAAGCGGGGGAUCGCAAGACCUCGCGCGAUUGGAGCGGUCGAUAUCCGAUUAGGUAGUUGGUGAGGUAAAGGCUCACCAAGCCGACGAACUGUAGCUGGUCUGAGAGGACGACCAGCCACACUGGGACUGAGACACGGCCCAGACUCCUACGGGAGGCAGCAGUGGGGAAUUUUGGACAAAGGGCGCAAGCCUGAUCCAGCCAUGCCGCGUGCGGGAAGAAGGCCUUCGGGUUGUAAACCGCUUUUGUCAGGGAAGAAAAGGUUCUGGCUAAUACCUGGGACUCAUGACGGUACCUGAAGAAUAAGCACCGGCUAACUACGUG
rnacentral:rRNA from 1 species